CGCAGACGCCGCAGGCGCCAUCGUCGCUCACUCCGGCCGCCAUUACUCGUGUUGUGCCGCCAACUGAACGUACGGCGUAUCGCUUCCGUGUUUUUCGUACGUUCCAAGUUUUGAUUGCGUACGAAUAAGUGCCGAUGUAAUAACGGACGAUUAUUCCGAUACACAGUGUCGUACGUGGAAGUGAUCGUAUUCGUUUACGAAGCGCAGGCAUCGUGUCGCGUGGCUUCGUCGAGAUUUCGCGUGCGUUUGUUCGCUCGGAAACGUGCAGUGAAAUAUCGCGAAUGACGCGUGAAACGUUGUGUUAGAUAUGCACAAGAUCGGUGAGUGAGUGUGUUUCGUUUCUACGCAUCAUGUAUAAUGUACGUUUGUAUUCGGACGAUCUCGUCGUCGUCAGUCGUCGUCGGUCGUUGUCUCUCGACUGAUGUGUCGCGCCGGCCGUUCGUUUCUCCUUGUCCCGUCAUAUUUAUUGUUGUUUAGUCGAGCGUGCCAUACUUUUCGCGUUUUCGAAAAUUAUAUUCGUCACUUGCGAAUGUAGCAGCGGACGACUAUAACACACGAUCGUGUAGCAUGAUGCGUAGAAACGAUUGCGUUCCAAGUUCCGUUAGCAUCUACUGCAUCGCGACAAGCUGAAUUCUCGCCAAUUCUUGCGUGUGUUUUGCCUGUUAUUUACGUUGAAAACACUGAUAUAUUUGCGUAUAGUGUGUUAAGCCGGUAUUACAUUUGUCGUACGAUUUGAGGAGAGCAGCAAACGAAAAGACGAUAUCCGUGGAGCAAUUUGAGUACGGGAAUCAAUAGGACAGGACACAUAGCAGCAGCAACGACAGUAACAAGUGAAAAAUUGCGGCGGUCUCGGACAUCGUCAGUGUUUGCAAUAUGAAAGGAUGCGAGCAGGAUUUGCGCGUUGUCGAUGCACCUCGACGCAUUCAGUUCCACGACCUGCAACUCGAUCUCUCCAGAGAAAGAGCUUCGAGAUCUUAUCGAGGGAAACGCAGCCGGUUCGACGUACAGAAGAAUAAAAAGUAAAAGAUUUAUACGAAGAACUCGACUUACCGGGACUGCCGAGGAACACUGAGGAAUAAAGGACACCACGACGCGCGUCGGUCGCCGCGCGUUGCGCGUCAGGAGGCGAACUC